AACCCAAAUAUAAAAGUGGAACUAAUGAUUUAGCCAGUGUUGCUGGAGGGACUGCUUUUACAUGUGCACCUGCCAGAUAAGCAUGGGUAUAAAAUGUUUGUGGUUAGCUUAGCUACCAUUUUUAUUGCUUGUAUUCCUCAAUCUGAAAACCAGAGAUACAGCUCAUUGUUCAACCUUAAAGACGCAACUGGUUAUCAACCUAUUGCCUAUUCCCUUUACUUCUCUCAAUUCGUUCAUCUAUAUUCAAAAAUUCAACUGUUUCUGAAAACCAUCUGGAAGAGAAAUAAAUAGACCAAAAAGGAAUUGAGUUGUCCCUUUGCAUCCUUAAUGUGUUGAAAAAGCCAUUUUCAAGUUUGGGCAGAGCUGAACUUAUUGUGAUAACUUGACAGUUGAUAACCAGCGUGGCAGUGAGAACAAGGAUCAAAGGCCUGAAGUCAAGCUGUCAACGCAAAGGAAGAAUUGACUGGAAACUCUUCACCAUGGCAGAGGAAACUCUUGGGAAAACAGUAAAGCAACUGAAGCAAGAAAGAACCUUAGCUAAAAGCGCGUUUACCAAGCAAGCAAACUUCCUUAGCAGAGGCGCAAAAGAAUAUGACAAAGAGUGAACUACAAGAGGAGUUCAAGAAGCUCAUGCUGGAGGCGAGGAAGUUUGUGUGUUUGUGUGGGGGUCGUGUGCUGUAAUCUUUGAAAGUUUAUGACCGAACCUUUAUUGGGGAGCGACAACAGAUCUCCGGGACUCAGUUUGGAUGGAGUAGAGUUGGUAUACUCAAGUCUAUUGGGAAUUUGUCUAAACUGGUAUUAACUAUUCCUGGUAAAUCGCAGAGAAGAGUGGAAUGAACAAAAAAGUCAGACCGAGACUAGAAACUCCCGCAGCGUAACAAGGAAAUCUUGGAACAAAGAGACGCCGAGUGGCUCGUGUUGUCCGAUUGGAUAUCAGAGGCAAAGCGAACGUUGUGUGUACUAUUGCAAAAUAUAUAGCGGAUCUCCACGGCUAGGAUACAGACCACAACACUUUGGACGUUUCUUUAAAAAAGAGAAAUCAGAGACUUUUUGGAUUUGUCUGGGAACAUUUUAAACAUUUUGUGGCAAAUUGGAUUUAACACAUUUCGGAUACUGGAUACCUGUGUUUGAUUUGUCCGCAGAGCUGGUCGCUUUUUAAAAUCACAGGGGUAAGUGACUAAUUACAUU